rnacentral:rRNA from 1 species
GGUUUAAUUCGAAGCAACGCGAAGAACCUUACCAAGUCUUGACAUCCCGAUGACAAGCUAUGUAAUGUAGCCUCUCUUCGGAGCAUCGGUGACAGGUGGUGCAUGGUUGUCGUCAGCUCGUGUCGUGAGAUGUUGGGUUAAGUCCCGCAACGAGCGCAACCCCUGUUCUUAGUAGCCAGCGGUUCGGCCGGGCACUCUAGGGAGACUGCAGGGAUAACCUGGA